GGGGAAUAUUACACAAUGGGGGAAACCCUGAUGCAGCGACGCCGCGUGGAGGAAGAAGGUCUUCGGAUUGUAAACUCCUGUUGUUGGGGAAGAUAAUGACGGUACCCAACAAGGAAGUGACGGCUAACUACGUGCCAGCAGCCGCGGUAAAACGUAGGUCACAAGCGUUGUCCGGAAUUACUGGGUGUAAAGGGAGCGCAGGCGGGAAGACAAGUUGGAAGUGAAAUCUAUGGGCUCAACCCAUAAACUGCUUUCAAAACUGUUUUUCUUGAGUAGUGCAGAGGUAGGCGGAAUUCCCGGUGUAGCGGUGGAAUGCGUAGAUAUCGGGAGGAACACCAGUGGCGAAGGCGGCCUACUGGGCACCAACUGACGCUGAGGCUCGAAAGUGUGGGUAGCAAACAGGAUUAGAUACCCUGGUAGUCCACACCGUAAACGAUGAUUACUAGGUGUUGGAGGAUUGACCCCUUCAGUGCCGCAGUUAACACAAUAAGUAAUCCACCUGGGGAGUACGACCGCAAGGUUGAAACUCAAAGGAAUUGACGGGGGCCCGCACAAGCAGUGGAGUAUGUGGUUUAAUUCGACGCAACGCGAAGAACCUUACCAAGUCUUGACAUCCCUUGACAGGCAUAGAAAUAUGUUUUCUCUUCGGAGCAAAGAGACAGGUGGUGCAUGGUUGUCGUCAGCUCGUGUCGUGAGAUGUUGGGUUAAGUCCCGCAACGAGCGCAACCCUUAUGGUCAGUUACUACGCAAGAGGACUCUGGCCAGACUGCCGUUGACAAAACGGAGGAAGGUGGGGAUGACGUCAAAUCAUCAUGCCCUUUAUGACUUGGGCUACACACGUACUACAAUGGCGUUAACAGAGGGAAGCAAGACAGCGAUGUGGAGCAAACCCCUAAAAACAUUCUCAGUUCAGAUUGCAGGCUGCAACCCGCCUGCAUGAAGAUGGAAUUGCUAGUAAUCGCGGAUCAGCAUGCCGCGGUGAAUACGUUCCCG
rnacentral:rRNA from 1 species